AAUUUGCUCACUGGAAAGUUUAUACAUGGGCAACCCAAAAUUAGGUAGAAAUUUGAACAUGGCGAUUACCCAUAAUUUGAGUUGGUCGCUGUGAACUUCGUGUUGGGUAGGAAUUGAAUAAUGACGUCUACUCAAAUUCAAGUUCAUCGCUUUGUACUUAUAUUUUGGGUAGUCCAUUUCAAACAAAGUAGUAGGUAAUGUUUUUGACAGCCAUUGUUAUUGUUGUGAAUCAAAUUGCAUGAAGUGGCUCUGGAAAAGAAUGCCUAGAAACUUAGGAUAAAGCAAUUAGCGCUGGAUCUAAAACAUGAGUCGAUGAUGAUCGAGUUGCACUUUUUGUUGCCAACGAACGGAAAACAAAUAAAUAAUUGAAGAAAUUUUUCUCCUCAAAAUAUUUGAUUAUUUCUGCUGCCUCUGCACUCCUUGCUGUCGUUCGAUUCCGUUCACGUGGC